CCCCUAGAUGUUCUGGGCCGCACGCGCGCUACACUGGUCGAUGCAACGAGUUUCUUUCCUUGGCCGACAGGCCUGGGCAAUCUUUGAACAUCGAUCGUGAUCGGGAUAGAUUCUUGUAAUUUUUGAUCUUAAACGAGGAAUUCCUAGUAAACGCAAGUCAUCAGCUUGCAUUGAUUACGUCCCUGCCCUUUGUACACACCGCCCGUCGCACCUACCGAUUGAAUGGUCCGGUGAAGCCUCCGGAUUGGCGCGCACCUCGGUGCCGCCGAGAAGUUGGCUAAACCUUACCAUUUAGAGGAAGGUGAAGUCGUAACA
rnacentral:rRNA from 1 species